AUAUUGCACUUAGAACGUGAAAAGGAACCCUACCCAACACGCAUCACCCCUCUUACUCUCUUACCUUAGCAUAAAGUUACAGCCUUACAGAUUGGCGUUGCUGAAUUAUAGAGUGGUCCUAACUCCACAGUGGGAGGAGCUCAUGUCUUGUUAGGAGUAUUUGAACUCUCGACUAGACAGUACGGUAAACAAGAUUUUAACUUAUUUUUUGUUCAUAAGGUUGACCUUAUUGUAGAAGGGCUUCUUCUAUCAUUUCCCAUGUAAGUGCAGAGGCAGUGAGAAUCCCAUCAUGCUUUUCCACAGCUUUCUUGAACUUCUUUUAUUGUUUCAAGAAUACCAAAGAAGCUCAAGAAUGCUGUGGGAAGACAUGGCAAAGUAGGGAUUUUGUGAUUUUCCAGUACGUGAGCUGAGAAACUGUUAAUUCUGAGGAAACCAACGUUGCUUGACCAAAGUGAAGGAUGUAAAUUGGCUUUCAACUCUUUGGAAUCCUGACUUUGGCCUAAAUGAUAAUAGUCACGAGGAUGAAUUGUGACCUCAACCACAUGCAACUAUGCGAUUCACUCUUCUCACGAGCCUUCUAAACUUCUUUGCUUCUCUCUCCAAACAAUCUUCAUUUUCUAGGGUUUUCUUCUGUGUUAUUUCUUCAAGUUUUUUGUUCAACUUCUUAACAUAUCUGUGAGGGAAAAAGCUUUAUCCGGGUGUACAAGGCAAAUUGUGUAAGUUUGCAGAGAUUCUGGUUUGCUGUUGUCCAUAUUGUGUUUACGGUUCGUACCGGUUGGAACUGGUGUUCUUUAGUGCAUAUUUUUUCAACAAUGCUCUAUAUACAGGAACCAUGCUACUCAUCCAGGGCCACUGGCCACAUGGGCCCUGAACAAGGGCACGAACAAGCCCCCAUCUGUACGUGUAGCAUGGUCCAUGACCAAUGUGGCCUUGGACGAGCAGAAUAAUCCAUAUGUAUAGAUAGAGUUACCGAAUGGCUGACGACAAUAUUUUAUUGGAAUUUGGACAAAAAUCAAAAUUAAAACCGCCAAUAAGAUACUGUCAUCUUAACACUUGUAAACUGCCUUACACAAUUUAUCUGUACAAAUAGCUUUAUUCUAUUUUUUUAGCCUAGUAAAGCUCUAGGGAUGUAAUAUUUAUUGUAUUGAACCUUGUUAAACCCUUAUGCGUUAUAUUACUUUUUCACUAUUUCUAAAGA